AGGCAAGGGGCUGAAAGGUCAACAACAGCGGACUCAUAAUCGUUUGGUCGUGGGUUCGAAACCCACCGGGCCCACCA
rnacentral:tRNA from 1 species